CUUCUCUUGCCCAAGUUAUUUUUGGAACCCUAAUUUUUGCUGACAAAAGCCUGCUUUCUUCAUAAUUUGCAGUUUUCUGCUCUGUUGGAUCAGUGUCUCUUUCUCUUAUACUUUAAUUCAAAUUUCAAACAACAUAAUUAUUUUCUCUUUCUUUCUCUCUCGUCCUUUUUUCUUUCUCUCUGACCUUUUAUUCCUCUCCUUCUUUCUUUUCAUCUUCAUCUUCCGCUUCUUUGUUCUUUCUUUUCUUAACUUUGUUUUGAUGUACUGUUCUACUAUUAUAAAUAACUUAAAAUGCAAUAACGGAUGGAGAUUCAAAUGAAGAAGGAAGAGCAGUGGACAGGAAGAGCAGUGGAUUUUCAAGAGGUGCUUCUGUGUAUAGAUGUGUGAGAAGUUUUUCAGACACCAUCAACAUGGAAGGUGGCUGCCUCGAAUCGGAAGGGUUGCUGGAAACAAAGACUUGUAUCUUGGUACAUUUAGCACACAAGAGGAGGCUGUAGAAGCAUAUGAUAUUGCAGCAAUCAAGUUUAGAGGAACAAGUGAUGUGACCAAAUUUGACAUCAGUAGGUAUGAUGUCAAGAGAAUUUGUUCAAGCUCAACUCUAAUCGCCGGAGACAUCGACACCUUCUCAGUCGCCUCCUUUUGGGUUAUUGAGUAUAUGAUGCUGAUUGAGUUUGUUAGGCAGGUUCAUCCAGACAUAAGGUACUCACAUAGUAGUAGGCAUGGCUGUUGGAGGUCAAGAUGUAAUUUGUGUCAAACAGACAUUCAUCUAAGAUUCCUACAGGUUCAAGCUGUUUUGCUGCUUUUGGGAUACCCGUGAUUUGGUGGGUCGACGUGAUUUAUAUGAAAGGGGAAAAAGUGAAUAAAAACCCUUAUGUUAUUUUUGUUGUAGUUACAGUCAAAUUUAGUCCAUUUUUGCUUUAAUUAUCAACCUAAUUUUGUGGAUUUGAGUUAGUCAAAGUUUGUUAUGGUUUAAUGUCAAUGAUAAUUGGUUUUGGACUUGAGGAAGAGGGAUCUUACAAGUCCAAGUCUGAAGUCAAUGAUGAAGACGAUGAUGAUGAGUCUGACGAGUAGAGUUGUUGCUCUUCAAAGAAGAAGAAGCAUGGUAGUAAUUGCAAUAGAAUAAUGAUUUGUUCCUCAGAUUUGCGAAGUUCGUACAACAAAAACCGGGCAGGAUAAAAGAACCCAAUCAGAGGAUAAGAAGAACCUGAUUUCAUGACUGAUUAUAUAUGGUAUGUCGGUUGCAUAGUCGGUGAAAUCGUAACAAGCAACCCCUAUUCCCUGGAAGAGAUUAUGUUCACUAGCUGAAAUUGGUCACAGAGGAGUUCAUUAUUUACAUAUGCCUGACCAUACAUUCUGAGAUGGUGAUUUAUAUGAGAGACAAGUAAUUGCACGAUUUAAGCUGACAGUGAAGGUUUCUGGAAAGCUGACGAUGGUGGUAUCGUGGACUGCAACGAUGUUUCAGAGCUUAAUGGAUAUUGUUUGCUUUUUGCUUUGUCAGCUUAGCGAGGAAGGACCAUUUUGCAUAUUACAUAUUGUUAUGUGGUCUUUGUUCUUAUGAGUUUUGGCAAUGUUUUGCAGAUGACGACAACAAUUUAUAUUGAGGAUGUAAGAAGAUAAGUGAAGAUAUUGUGAGUUAUGACUGGUCAUCCGAAUCUGGUGAAUAUUUGGCAUUUACGGGAGCAUUGUUGAAUGGACAGGAAUAAGUUGCAGCUGAACUCGCAACACAUUUACUCUCUUCUGAGGUUUGGUUAUGUUUUCUAAAACAUUGUGGUUAUGCUCACAUUGCAUAAUCAUAUACACUACAUAUGGGUCAUAGAAGGGCCUGUUGUGGAUGUCCUGGUUUUAAUAAGAAAAAAAAUCCUUUCAGGUGUAAGUCAUUACUUAUAAUCCCUCAGUAUCAUACUCUGACAUUCAUUUAGUAGCUUCUGAAAUUGCUCUAACCAUCCGUAGAUACAAAGAUGUUUUUGAGACUGGUGUCUUCCUUCUUGAUUAACAACUUUAUGCGCGUUCAAAAUAUGUAUGACCCAUCAAUCCUCUUAGAAAAUAUAACUACUUGUGUUUAUUUGUUUGUUAUAGGUGAUGAGCAGCUGUUUUUGCAGUUACAAUCUAUUUUUCUUUUAAGUUUAGUCAUACUUGUGUUUUAACAUAAUUAGCAAGCCAUGAUAAUACUGAGAAGCACCGGCAUUGAUGGGUGGUAUCUCAAUGAUGUAAUGGGGUGAACAUGGAUAUCGAAUUUCUAUUAUCGAGGAUAGAUCUUCAGAGAGAAUUAUUUCAUUCUCUUUUGGAAAAUAGUGUCUUAGUAGAGGUGUUCCCUCUGUAUCUGUGUUUUUAUCAAUUACUGAUCAAUGCAUAAUAAAAUACAUCAGAGUGUACCAAUGUAGCAGUGACUGAACAUUGCUCUUUCUCACUCAAUCCUUAUUUUCCUCUAUAUUUUCUAUGUUUGCAGUGUUUGGUGUCUGAAAAAGUGAUAGUAAUUUGAGAGUAAAAUGUUUAAUGAAAUACUGCCAACUUUUGAAUGAGUUAAGAGAGAAAUAAUUACGUUUAGGGUUCUAAGAAAAAACAAA